GACGAACCGUGCGAACGUUGUUCGGAAUCACUGGGCUUAAAGGGCGCGUAGGCGGGCCUCCCAGUCCGGGGUGAAAGCUUUCGGCUUAACCGGAAAAGUGCCUUGGAUACUGGAGGCCUGGAGGGAGGUAGGGGCAGCCGGAACUUCGGGUGGAGCGGUGAAAUGCGUUGAUAUGCACAGGAACUCCGGUGGCGAAGGCGGCGAGCU
rnacentral:rRNA from 1 species